rnacentral:rRNA from 1 species
UACAGAGGUCUCAAGCGUUGUUCGGAUUCAUUGGGCGUAAAGGGUGCGUAGGCGGCGCGGUAAGUCGGGUGUGAAAUCUUGGAGCUUAACUCCGAAACUGCAUUCGAUACUGGCGUGCUUGAGGACUGGAGAGGAGACUGGAAUUCACGGUGUAGCAGUGAAAUGCGUAGAGAUCGUGAGGAAGACCAGUGGCGAAGGCGGGUCUCUGGACAGUUCCUGACACUGAGGCACGAAGGCCAGGGGAGCAAACGGG